AAUAGUUUUGGUACUUGUCUAUUGAAUCCUCAACAACGUGUUCUUGUCUCUGUUGCCCACCUUACUGUUGAUGUAAUGAACCAUUGAGGAGGACUCUAGCCUGGACAUUCGCCUAACCAACACUUUUUCAACAGCUUCCUGUUGACGUGUUUGAUGCUAUGGUGGUGGUGUAUGGAUCUUUCCCACUAAAUGCUCAGUUUAUGUAAGUAGUCGUAGCCUGGAACCUCAAUGUUCACCAAGUUAUUAUCCAGUGGACUGCAAUAUCUGGGAUCGACUAGUUGGUCAUAUUACGAAGCCUAACAUGUUACAAUGCUCAUCACAUUUUUUAAGAUACUCUGGCUGUCAUUGGUGGCAGUUGAGAUAAACAAGACACAGUCUGUGUCUCUUAGACACACUGAAUGCUCAGUCAUCCUCUGCAUGUCAUACUUUUAAGGUUAAAAGUAUUUAUCAUUUCACACCUUACAUCUCCAAAAACCUUAAUGUAUCAAAUCUAUUUAUUGAAUGUUCCAACUAUCCACAUGAAGAUCUGUGAGAUUUGUGUGCAGAAAAUAGAUUAAUUUGUACUUGUCUCCAGGCCAAAGGUGACUGGUCUUACCUUACUCGAAGGUGUAGCUCAACCUCCAAAAACAACUCUCCCCCUGCCUGAUUUAAUAUUUAGAAUUAGUUUAUGCACAGUACCUGUUACUGUAACUACAGAGAGUUUAUAGAACUGUCAAACUGUUCAGCAGAGUUUAGAGAACUGUCAAUGAUGUUCAACAGAG